rnacentral:rRNA from 1 species
UACCGGGGGAGCAAGCGUUGUUCGGAUUUACUGGGCGUAAAGGGCGCGUAGGCGGCCUCCGCAAGUCAAUUGUGAAAUCUCCGGGCUUAACUCGGAAAGGUCAACUGAUACUGCGGGGCUAGAGUGCGGAAGGGGCAACUGGAAUUCUUGGUGUAGCGGUGAAAUGCGUAGAUACCAAGAGGAACACCUGCGGCGAAGGCGGGUUGCUGGGCCGACACUGACACUGAGGCGCGAAAGCUAGGGGAGCGAACGGG